GUUAUAGGGUCAAGCGAAUAAGUGCAUGUGGUGGAUGCCUUGGCGAUCACAGGCGAUGAAGGACGUAGUAGCUUGCGAAAAGCUGCGGGGAGCUGGCAAACGAGCUUUGAUCCGCAGAUGUCCGAAUGGGGAAACCCGGCCCGUAUGGGUCAUCCCUUGCUGAAUACAUAGGCAAGGGAGGCGAACGCAGUGAACUGAAACAUCUAAGUAGCUGCAGGAAAAGAAAUCAACCGAGAUUCCCAAAGUAGUGGCGAGCGAAAUGGGAACAGCCUUGUACUCUUUAGCAGUAUUGUUAGCGGAACGGAAUGGAAAGUCCGGCCAUAGUGGGUGAUAGCCCCGUACGCGAAAACAGUAUUGUGGAACUAGGUGUACGACAAGUAGGGCGGGACACGUGAAAUCCUGUCUGAAGAUGGGGGGACCAUCCUCCAAGGCUAAAUACUCGUGAUCGACCGAUAGUGAACCAGUACCGUGAGGGAAAGGCGAAAAGAACCCCGGGAGGGGAGUGAAAUAGAUCCUGAAACCGCAUGCAUACAAACAGUCGGAGCCUGGAAACGGGUGACGGCGUACCUUUUGUAUAAUGGGUCAGCGACUUACAUUCAGUGGCAAGCUUAACCGAUUAGGGAAGGCGUAGCGAAAGCGAGUCCGAAUAGGGCGUUCAGUCGCUGGGUGUAGACCCGAAACCAAGUGAUCUAUCCAUGGCCAGGUUGAAGGUGCGGUAACACGUACUGGAGGACCGAACCCACUAACGUUGAAAAGUUAGGGGAUGAGCUGUGGAUAGGGGUGAAAGGCUAAACAAACUUGGAAAUAGCUGGUUCUCUCCGAAAACUAUUUAGGUAGUGCCUCGUGUCUCACCUUCGGGGGUAGAGCACUGUCAUGGUUGGGGGGUCUAUUGCUGAUUACCCCGCCAUAGCAAACUCCGAAUACCGAAGAGUGCAAUCACGGGAGACAGACAUCGGGUGCUAACGUCCGGUGUCAAGAGGGAAACAACCCAGACCGCCAGCUAAGGUCCCUAAGAUUGGCUAAGUGGGAAACGAAGUGGGAAGGCUAAAACAGUCAGGAGGUUGGCUUAGAAGCAGCCACCCUUUAAAGAAAGCGUAAUAGCUCACUGAUCGAGUCGUCCUGCGCGGAAGAUGUAACGGGGCUAAGCCAGUCACCGAAGCUGCGGAUGCACAUAAGUGCAUGGUAGGAGAGCGUUCUGUAAGCCUGUGAAGGUGUCUUGUAAAGGAUGCUGGAGGUAUCAGAAGUGCGAAUGCUGACAUGAGUAGCGAUAAAGGGGGUGAAAGGCCCCCUCGCCGUAAGCCCAAGGUUUCCUACGCAACGUUCAUCGGCGUAGGGUGAGUCGGCCCCUAAGGCGAGGCAGAGAUGCGUAGCUGAUGGGAAGCAGGUUAAUAUUCCUGCACCGUCGUAUGAUGCGAUGGGGGGACGGAUCGCGGAAGGUUGUCCGGGUGUUGGAAGUCCCGGUCCCUACAUUGGAGAUGGCACUUAGGCAAAUCCGGGUGCGUGAUUCAAGGGUGUGGGGCGAGCGACGUUAGGUCGCGAAGCAAUUGGAAGUGGUUCCAAGAAAAGCCUCUAAGCUUCAGUCAUACGAGACCGUACCGCAAACCGACACAGGUGGGCGAGAUGAGUAUUCUAAGGCGCUUGAGAGAACUCGGGAGAAGGAACUCGGCAAAUUGGUACCGUAACUUCGGGAUAAGGUACGCCCUUGUAGUUUGACUGGCUCGCGCCAGAAGGAUGAAGGGGUUGCAAUAAAAUGGUGGCUGCGACUGUUUAAUAAAAACACAGCACUCUGCAAACACGAAAGUGGACGUAUAGGGUGUGACGCCUGCCCGGUGCCGGAAGAUUAAAUGAUGGGGUGCAAGCUCUUGAUUGAAGUCCCGGUAAACGGCGGCCGUAACUAUAACGGUCCUAAGGUAGCGAAAUUCCUUGUCGGGUAAGUUCCGACCUGCACGAAUGGCGUAACGAUGGCCACACUGUCUCCUCCCGAGACUCAGCGAAGUUGAAGUGUUUGUGAUGAUGCAAUCUCCCCGCGGCUAGACGGAAAGACCCCAUGAACCUUUACUGUAGCUUUGCAUUGGACUUUGAACCGAUCUGUGUAGGAUAGGUGGGAGGCUUUGAAACCGGGACGCUAGUUUCGGUGGAGCCGACCUUGAAAUACCACCCUGGUUUGUUUGAGGUUCUAACCUUGGCCCGUGAAUCCGGGUCGGGGACAGUGCAUGGUAGGCAGUUUGACUGGGGCGGUCUCCUCCCAAAGUGUAACGGAGGAGUUCGAAGGUACGCUUGGUACGGUCGGACAUCGUACCUAAAGUGCAAUGGCAAAAGCGUGCUUAACUGCGAGACCGACAAGUCGAGCAGGUGCGAAAGCAGGACAUAGUGAUCCGGUGGUUCUGUAUGGAAGGGCCAUCGCUCAACGGAUAAAAGGUACUCUGGGGAUAACAGGCUGAUACCGCCCAAGAGUUCAUAUCGACGGCGGUGUUUGGCACCUCGAUGUCGGCUCAUCUCAUCCUGGGGCUGUAGCCGGUCCCAAGGGUAUGGCUGUUCGCCAUUUAAAGAGGUACGUGAGCUGGGUUUAAAACGUCGUGAGACAGUUUGGUCCCUAUCUGCCGUGGGCGUUGGAAUCUUGACGGGGGCUGCUCCUAGUACGAGAGGACCGGAGUGGACGUACCGCUGGUGUACCUGUUGUCUCGCCAGAGGCAUCGCAGGGUAGCUAUGUACGGAAGAGAUAACCGCUGAAAGCAUCUAAGCGGGAAACUCGCCUGAAGAUGAGGAUUCCCUGGAGACUUGAUCUCCCUGAAGGGUCGUUCGAGACCAGGACGUUGAUAGGCUGGGUGUGGAAGCGCAGUAAUGCGUUCAGCUAACCAGUACUAAUUGCCCGUGCGGCUUGAUCCUAUAACC
rnacentral:rRNA from 2 species